AAGAGAACAAGGUUUAAGAAGAAAAAUGAUAAGGAAUAGAUGAGCGAAUAAGCGAGAAAGAGUUGUAGUUUUGCGAGGAAGAUACUAGAUUAAUAGUUGUGUAGCUGAGAUGAGCUGGAUUGAUGGGCUGGAAUUGUUAAAAAGGUAGUUAUAGUGGUGGGAAGAGUUAUUCUAGGGAGAAAGAAGCUUUAUAAGUAACAGCUAUGUAGCUGGAAGAGACUCAUUCAAGAAAUAACAAGAU
rnacentral:misc_RNA from 1 species